UUACCGUUACCGUUACCGUUACCGGAGCUUGUAGUUCCGUUAGCGUUCGUAGUAGUAGAGGUAGUCGACUGAUCAUCUCCGCCGGCGAUGAGUUUCCGGUGACUAGCUUUAUGUCCUCCUAAAGCUUGAUAAGAUCCGAAUCCCUUACCACAAACCGAACACCUAUACAACAUCUUCUCCGCCGUCUCGUGAAUUUUCAUCACUGGCACCGGCGGUGGUAGAGACCGUACGUGAUUAACAGAGCCAUCGCUCCUUGCAAGCAUAAUCAAACAAAGCGCCAAAUAUUCCUCUUCAGUCGGUUGACGAUCCAUACUCCGUGACCUCUUAGAUCUCUUCCCUUUAGUCCAAUUCUCAAGGUACCGAAGCUGCUGCUGGCCUUUGCUCUCAAAUUGAAACGUUUGCGGAUUUGAAGUAGUACCAGUUGGAGAAUUCAAAGCUUCAAGAGCCAUUUCGAUAUCAAUUUAAUUCAAAUUAUUCGUUCAGAGUUAUCGAG
rnacentral:misc_RNA from 1 species